rnacentral:rRNA from 1 species
AGAGUUUGAUCCUGGCUCAGGAUGAACGCUGGCGGCGUGCUUAACACAUGCAAGUUGAACGAAGCAAUUUAGCGGAAGUUUUCGGAUGGAAGUUAAAUUGACUGAGUGGCGGACGGGUGAGUAACGCGUGGGUAACCUGCCUCACACUGGGGGACAACAGUUAGAAAUGACUGCUAAUACCGCAUAAGCGCACAGGACCGCAUGGUCCGGUGUGAAAAACUCCGGUGGUGUGAGAUGGACCCGCGUUUGAUUAGCUAGUUGGUGGGGUAACGGCCUACCAAGGCGACGAUCAAUAGCCGACCUGAGAGGGUGACCGGCCACAUUGGGACUGAGACACGGCCCAAACUCCUACGGGAGGCAGCAGUGGGGAAUAUUGCACAAUGGGGGAAACCCUGAUGCAGCGACGCCGCGUGAGUGAAGAAGUAUUUCGGUAUGUAAAGCUCUGUUGUAAGUCAAGAACGAGUGUGAGAGUGGAAAGUUCACACUGUGACGGUAGCUUACCAGAAAGGGACGGCUGACUACGUACCAGCAGCCGCGGUAAUACGUAGGUCCCGAGCGUUGUCCGGAUUUAUUGGGCGUAAAGCGAGCGCAGGCGGUUUGAUGAGUCUGAAGUUAAAGGCUGUGGCUCAACCAUAGUUCGCUUUGGAAACUGUCAAACUUGAGUGCAGAAGGGGAGAGUGGAAUUCCAUGUGUAGCGGUGAAAUGCGUAGAUAUAUGGAGGAACACCGGUGGCGAAAGCGGCUCUCUGGUCUGUAACUGACGCUGAGGCUCGAAAGCGUGGGGAGCGAACAGGAUUAGAUACCCUGGUAGUCCACGCCGUAAACGAUGAGUGCUAGGUGUUGGAUCCUUUCCGGGAUUCAGUGCCGCGGCUAACGCAUUAAGCACUCCGCCUGGGGAGUACGACCGCAAGGUUGAAACUCAAAGGAAUUGACGGGGGCCCGCACAAGCGGUGGAGCGUGUGGUUUAAUUCGAAGCAACGCGAAGAACCUUACCAGGUCUUGACAUCCCGAUGCUAUUUCUAGAGAUAGAAAGUUACUUCGGUACAUCGGUGACAGGUGGUGCAUGGUUGUCGUCAGCUCGUGUCGUGAGAUGUUGGGUUAAGUCCCGCAACGAGCGCAACCCCUAUUGUUAGUUGCCAUCAUUCAGUUGGGCACUCUAGCGGGACUGCCGGUAAUAAACCGGAGGAAGGUGGGGAUGACGUCAAAUCAUCAUGCCCCUUAUGACCUGGGCUACACACGUGCUACAAUGGUUGGUACAACGAGUUGCGAGUCGGUGACGGCAAGCUAAUCUCUUAAAGCCAAUCUCAGUUCGGAUUGUAGGCUGCAACUCGCCUACAUGAAGUCGGAAUCGCUAGUAAUCGCGGAUCAGCACGCCGCGGUGAAUACGUUCCCGGGCCUUGUACACACCGCCCGUCACACCACGAGAGUUUGUAACACCCGAAGUCGGUGAGGUAACCUUUUGGAGCCAGCCGCCUAAGGUGGGAUAGAUGAUUGGGGUGAAGUCGUAACAAGGUA